GAUGAACGCUAGCUACAGGCUUAACACAUGCAAGUCGAGGGGCAGCAUCGCGAUAGCUUGCUAUUGCGGAUGGCGACCGGCGCACGGGUGAGUAACGCGUAUCCAACCUUCCCGCAACUGGGGAAUAACCUUGCGAAAGUAAGACUAAUACCCCAUGGUCUCCACGGAUGGCAUCUGAAAUGGAGUAAAGGUUUCGGCCGGUUGCGGAUGGGGAUGCGUCCGAUUAGCUUGACGGCGGGGUAACGGCCCACCGUGGCAUCGAUCGGUAGGGGUUCUGAGAGGAAGGUCCCCCACAUUGGAACUGAGACACGGUCCAAACUCCUACGGGAGGCAGCAGUGAGGAAUAUUGGUCAAUGGGCGGAAGCCUGAACCAGCCAAGUAGCGUGAAGGACGACUGCCCUAUGGGUUGUAAACUUCUUUUAUGCGGGGAUAAAGUUCGCCACGUGUGGCGUUUUGCAGGUACCGCAUGAAUAAGGACCGGCUAAUUCCGUGCCAGCAGCCGCGGUAAUACGGAAGGUCCAGGCGUUAUCCGGAUUCAUUGGGUUUAAAGGGAGCGUAGGCCGCCUUUUAAGCGUGUUGUGAAAUGUAGGGGCUCAACCCCUGCACUGCAGCGCGAACUGGAGGGCUUGAGUACACACAAAGUAGGCGGAAUUCAUGGUGUAGCGGUGAAAUGCUUAGAUAUCAUGAAGAACCCCGAUUGCGAAGGCAGCUUACUGGAGUGUAACUGACGCUGAAGCUCGAAAGCGCGGGUAUCGAACAGG
rnacentral:rRNA from 1 species